UUAAGCGACUAAGCGUACACGGUGGAUGCCCUGGCAGUCAGAGGCGAUGAAGGACGUGCUAAUCUGCGAUAAGCGUCGGUAAGGUGAUAUGAACCGUUAUAACCGGCGAUUUCCGAAUGGGGAAACCCAGUGUGUUUCGACACACUAUCAUUAACUGAAUCCAUAGGUUAAUGAGGCGAACCGGGGGAACUGAAACAUCUAAGUACCCCGAGGAAAAGAAAUCAACCGAGAUUCCCCCAGUAGCGGCGAGCGAACGGGGAGCAGCCCAGAGCCUGAAUCAGUGUGUGUGUUAGUGGAAGCGUCUGGAAAGGCACGCGAUACAGGGUGACAGCCCCGUACACAGAAAUGCACAUGCUGUGAGCUCGAUGAGUAGGGCGGGACACGUGGUAUCCUGUCUGAAUAUGGGGGGACCAUCCUCCAAGGCUAAAUACUCCUGACUGACCGAUAGUGAACCAGUACCGUGAGGGAAAGGCGAAAAGAACCCCGGCGAGGGGAGUGAAAAAGAACCUGAAACCGUGUACGUACAAGCAGUGGGAGCACGCUUAGGCGUGUGACUGCGUACCUUUUGUAUAAUGGGUCAGCGACUUAUAUUCUGUAGCAAGGUUAACCGAAUAGGGGAGCCGAAGGGAAACCGAGUCUUAACUGGGCGUUAAGUUGCAGGGUAUAGACCCGAAACCCGGUGAUCUAGCCAUGGGCAGGUUGAAGGUUGGGUAACACUAACUGGAGGACCGAACCGACUAAUGUUGAAAAAUUAGCGGAUGACUUGUGGCUGGGGGUGAAAGGCCAAUCAAACCGGGAGAUAGCUGGUUCUCCCCGAAAGCUAUUUAGGUAGCGCCUCGUGAAUUCAUCUCCGGGGGUAGAGCACUGUUUCGGCAAGGGGGUCAUCCCGACUUACCAACCCGAUGCAAACUGCGAAUACCGGAGAAUGUUAUCACGGGAGACACACGGCGGGUGCUAACGUCCGUCGUGAAGAGGGAAACAACCCAGACCGCCAGCUAAGGUCCCAAAGUCAUGGUUAAGUGGGAAACGAUGUGGGAAGGCCCAGACAGCCAGGAUGUUGGCUUAGAAGCAGCCAUCAUUUAAAGAAAGCGUAAUAGCUCACUGGUCGAGUCGGCCUGCGCGGAAGAUGUAACGGGGCUAAACCAUGCACCGAAGCUGCGGCAGCGACGCUGAUGCGUUGUUGGGUAGGGGAGCGUUCUGUAAGCCUGCGAAGGUGUGCUGUGAGGCAUGCUGGAGGUAUCAGAAGUGCGAAUGCUGACAUAAGUAACGAUAAAGCGGGUGAAAAGCCCGCUCGCCGGAAGACCAAGGGUUCCUGUCCAACGUUAAUCGGGGCAGGGUGAGUCGACCCCUAAGGCGAGGCCGAAAGGCGUAGUCGAUGGGAAACAGGUUAAUAUUCCUGUACUUGGUGUUACUGCGAAGGGGGGACGGAGAAGGCUAUGUUGGCCGGGCGACGGUUGUCCCGGUUUAAGCGUGUAGGCUGGUUUUCCAGGCAAAUCCGGAAAAUCAAGGCUGAGGCGUGAUGACGAGGCACUACGGUGCUGAAGCAACAAAUGCCCUGCUUCCAGGAAAAGCCUCUAAGCAUCAGGUAACAUCAAAUCGUACCCCAAACCGACACAGGUGGUCAGGUAGAGAAUACCAAGGCGCUUGAGAGAACUCGGGUGAAGGAACUAGGCAAAAUGGUGCCGUAACUUCGGGAGAAGGCACGCUGAUACGUAGGUGAAGUCCCUCGCGGAUGGAGCUGAAAUCAGUCGAAGAUACCAGCUGGCUGCAACUGUUUAUUAAAAACACAGCACUGUGCAAACACGAAAGUGGACGUAUACGGUGUGACGCCUGCCCGGUGCCGGAAGGUUAAUUGAUGGGAUCAGCGCAAGCGAAGCUCUUGAUCGAAGCCCCGGUAAACGGCGGCCGUAACUAUAACGGUCCUAAGGUAGCGAAAUUCCUUGUCGGGUAAGUUCCGACCUGCACGAAUGGCGUAAUGAUGGCCAGGCUGUCUCCACCCGAGACUCAGUGAAAUUGAACUCGCUGUGAAGAUGCAGUGUACCCGCGGCAAGACGGAAAGACCCCGUGAACCUUUACUAUAGCUUGACACUGAACAUUGAGCCUUGAUGUGUAGGAUAGGUGGGAGGCUUUGAAGUGUGGACGCCAGUCUGCAUGGAGCCGACCUUGAAAUACCACCCUUUAAUGUUUGAUGUUCUAACGUUGACCCGUAAUCCGGGUUGCGGACAGUGUCUGGUGGGUAGUUUGACUGGGGCGGUCUCCUCCUAAAGAGUAACGGAGGAGCACGAAGGUUGGCUAAUCCUGGUCGGACAUCAGGAGGUUAGUGCAAUGGCAUAAGCCAGCUUGACUGCGAGCGUGACGGCGCGAGCAGGUGCGAAAGCAGGUCAUAGUGAUCCGGUGGUUCUGAAUGGAAGGGCCAUCGCUCAACGGAUAAAAGGUACUCCGGGGAUAACAGGCUGAUACCGCCCAAGAGUUCAUAUCGACGGCGGUGUUUGGCACCUCGAUGUCGGCUCAUCACAUCCUGGGGCUGAAGUAGGUCCCAAGGGUAUGGCUGUUCGCCAUUUAAAGUGGUACGCGAGCUGGGUUUAGAACGUCGUGAGACAGUUCGGUCCCUAUCUGCCGUGGGCGCUGGAGAAUUGAGGGGGGCUGCUCCUAGUACGAGAGGACCGGAGUGGACGCAUCACUGGUGUUCGGGUUGUCAUGCCAAUGGCACUGCCCGGUAGCUAAAUGCGGAAGAGAUAAGUGCUGAAAGCAUCUAAGCACGAAACUUGCCCCGAGAUGAGUUCUCCCUGACUCCUUGAGAGUCCUGAAGGAACGUUGAAGACGACGACGUUGAUAGGCCGGGUGUGUAAGCGCAGCGAUGCGUUGAGCUAACCGGUACUAAUGAACCGUGAGGCUUAACCUU
rnacentral:rRNA from 1 species